ensembl:lncRNA
CAAUCAAUUGAAUUUACCACAGGUGGACCCCAAUCAAGUUGUAGAAACAUCAAGGAUGAUCAAUGGAAACAGGAUGCACCUGAGCUCAAUUUCGGGUCUCAUAACAAAGGGUCUGAAUGUAAAUAAGCAUGUGAUAUUCCUAAACAUCACUGGAUACCGUUGACUGAAGAGGAAAGGACAUCCCACGUCUUUUAUUUUGGAAAGAGCAGUUUUGAAAACUUCCCUGGAAUAUUUAGCCUUUUCUUAUGCAGAGAAAUCCUAAUAGGCCUGCUGAUGACUGGAACGUAAGGCAUGUGUCCCAGUAGCUCGCCAAACAAUUUGCUUUAGGAAAGAGUCAACUGGCUAUUAUACUGCAUAUCAUUUUGCCUAUCUCUUGUCAAAAAGGAGGGAAUUUCUUUGCCUUAUAGUAGAUGAGGAAAGAAGGCAGCUCCUGAGUUCAAUUUUUUUGUUGAUCCUAACAUUGUUGAAAGUGGCAUUAAUGUUUCAGCCAUGUUGACUUUCAUCAGAAUGAAGAAUAGCUUAUGGUAGAUGAACAGUGGAAAAAAUAGAUCAGAAGAUCAAUAAUCAGCAGGCUGACACAGCACAUUGAAGGGGAAUGGAAACACUUUUUAGGACCUAUAGCAAUGCAACAAGUUGUAUUCAAUCCACUAACACUAAACAGGUGUAAAGCCUAGUGUUUCCCUUCCCCUUUAAAGCUGGAAUCAUUAAUGGUGAAACUGCCAUGUCCUUUUGGGAUAUUACAACAAAGAAGUUACUGCAAACAACAAACUCUGUUUUUUUUUUACCCUCUGACGACAUUGCAUACGCGAUAGAAUAGCAGAAUAUGUACUGUGUUGCUCGAAGCAUCUCGCCUCCAUUAGGUCCACAAAAUAAUAAGAGGUGCUGGGGUGGACAGGGGCGCUUUCCCCCCUAUUGCGGAUUCAAUCUUUAAGAUGUCAUCUUGCUGGGCCUUGCUGUAGAUGCCGUGUGAAAGUAGACUGUUACAGUGAAUGGACACAAGUACAGAUGUGGUAGAUACAUUUGCAUGCAGUAUCUUAUCUAUGUAGGCACAGGCAGUAUAGACUGUAGACAUACGCACACUGGUGUGACCUUGGAAGGCUGAAUGCUCGAGGCGGCGGGGGAGAGUGGUAAGCGAGUGUUGGCCAACCCUCUUAAAUCAGAAAAUGUAGCGCACUAGAGGAGGAAGAGCGACUGGGUGUCAUGGUGUGUCAUGGUGUGUGUGUGUCACUGUGAAUGUUUGCUACUAUGCAUAUCUAUGUACUUAGCUGUGGAUAUGCAUGUUGGACUGCAUCUGUGGUGGUAGGUAGUCUGAUAUUAUAGCAUUAGGCCUUGUGUUCCAUUAGCCUUUCUGCUUGUGGCACAGGUGUUUUAUCUAUAGUGUUUUUGGAUAUGUUGGAUGUGCCUGCUUGUUGACAGUGACACACAAUAUCUGUGCUGAGUCACUCCUAUGUUUGUCUGCUUAAUAAUGUAUGAACAACACCGUUAGACUCACUUAUCGCUCUGUAUUACCUUCAGGACACAAUGGAACAUACACGUCUCUGUGUGUGUGCCACAUGGAUGUCACUGUGUGUGGAACAUGCAUGUCGCUGUGUAUCUGCUCAACUGUUGGCCACAGUGUCCCCUCAUUGAAAUCGGGCCUGCACAUAGCCUAUAGAUGGCCAUACCUUUCAGUCGAACAUGGGGUGAAAUGAGGAGGAGGGGAAAGGGCAAACACAUUAGGGGACUUUCAGUGACAGACGAGGAGGAUGCUGAUAUGACUGUUGACACUUUGUUUUAGGUCAGUUGUUAGUUAGAGCAAGGGUUUGAAUAGUUUCUCUGUGGGUGAGAUUAGCCAUAGUGGUAAACCAGUGUUGGGUUAAUGUUACAGGAUUAGUGUUAUAGUUAUGAGGAAGGGACAUUGCUUCAUUUGAGAAUCUCUCCUAUCCAUUUGGGAUACUUUCCCUCCAUGCUAGUAGUGUUUUCUCUAUGCUGUUCCUGCAUAGCACAACCUCCUAAUGUGAGGGAAAUACAGGUGUAUCAUCA